AUGAAAGUCCUGUGCAUCUGUAUAAAGCCCACUGUGGAAUCUUACGCAUCUGUGAAAGUCCUGUGCAUCUGUAUAAAGCCCACUGUGGAAUCUUACGCAUCUGUGAAAGUCCUGUGCAUCUGUAUAAAGCCCACUGUGGAAUCUUACGCAUCUGUGAAAGUCCUGUGCAUCUGUAUAAAGCCCACUGUGGAAUCUUAUGCAUCUGUGAAAGUCCUGUGCAUCUGUAAAAAGCCCACUGUGGAAUCUUACACAUCUAUGAAAGUCCUGUGCAUCUGUAUAAAGCCCACUGUGGAAUCUUACGCAUCUAUGAAAGUCCUGUGCAUCUGUAAAAUGCACACUGUGGAAUCUUAUGCAUCUGUGAAAGUCCUGUGCAUCUGUAUAAAGCCCACUGUGGAAUCUUACACAUCUAUGAAAGUCCUGUGCAUCUGUAUAAAGCCCACUGUGGAAUCUUACGCAUCUAUGAAAGUCCUGUGCAUCUGUAUAAAGCCCACUGUGGAAUCUUACACAUCUAUGAAAGUCCUGUGCAUCUGUAUAAAGCCCACUGUGGAAUCUUACACAUCUAUGAAAGUCCUGUGCAUCUGUAAAAUGCACACUGUGGAAUCUUACACAUCUAUGAAAGUCCUGUGCAUCUGUAUAAAGCCCACUGUGGAAUCUUACGCAUCUAUGAAAGUCCUGUGCAUCUGUAUAAAGCCCACUGUGGAAUCUUACACAUCUAUGAAAGUCCUGUGCAUCUGUAUAAAGCCCACUGUGGAAUCUUACACAUCUAUGAAAGUCCUGUGCAUCUGUAUAAAGCCCACUGUGGAAUCUUACACAUCUAUGAAAGUCCUGUGCAUCUGUAAAAUGCACACUGUGGAAUCUUACACAUCUAUGAAAGUCCUGUGCAUCUGUAUAAAGCCCACUGUGGAAUCUUACGCAUCUAUGAAAGUCCUGUGCAUCUGUAUAAAGCCCACUGUGGAAUCUUACACAUCUAUGAAAGUCCUGUGCAUCUGUAUAAAGCCCACUGUGGAAUCUUACACAUCUAUGAAAGUCCUGUGCAUCUGUAAAAUGCACACUGUGGAAUCUUGCGCAUCUAUGAAAGUAAUAAAUCAAUGA
rnacentral:lncRNA from 1 species